AGUGUAGGCGGGAUCGUAAGUUAGGAGUUUAAUGCAUGGGCUUAACCCAUGAUCUGCUUUUAAUACUGCGGUUCUUGAGUAUGGGAGAGGGCGAUGGAAUUCCAGGUGUAGCGGUGGAAUGCGUAGAUAUCUGGAAGAACGCCAGUAGCGAAGGCGGUCGCCUGGCCCAAUACUGACGCUGAUGCACGAAAGCUAGGGGAGCAAACAGGAUUAGAUACCCUGGUAGUCCUAGCCGUAAACGAUGGACACUAGUUGCGGGAGGAGUCAAUCCUUUCGGUGACGAAGCUAACGCAUUAAGUGUCCCGCCUGGGAAGUACGCUCGCAAGGGUGAA
rnacentral:rRNA from 1 species